GACGAACGCUGGCGGCGUGCUUAACACAUGCAAGUCGAACGGUAAGGCCCUUCGGGGUACACGAGCGGCGAACGGGUGAGUAACACGUGGGUGAUCUGCCCUGCACUUCGGGAUAAGCCUGGGAAACUGGGUCUAAUACCGGAUAGGACUCCUGGCUUCAUGGUUGGGGGUGGAAAGCUUUUGCGGUGUGGGAUGGGACCGCGGCCUAUCAGCUUGUUGGUGGGGGAAUGGCCUACCAAGGCGACGGCGGGUAGCCGGCCUGAGAGGGUGACCGGUCGAACUGGGACUGAGUUACGGGCCAGACUCCUACGGGAGGCAGCAGUGGGGAAUAUUGCACAAUGGGCGCAAGCCUGAUGCAGCGACGCCGCGUGAGGGAUGACGGCCUUCGGGUUGUAAACCUCUUUCAGCUAUGACGAAGCGCAAGUGACGGUAGUAGCAGAAGAAGGACCGGCCAACUACGUGCCAGCAGCCGCCGUAAGAC
rnacentral:rRNA from 1 species